rnacentral:rRNA from 1 species
GAGAGUCAAAGAGACCGCGAAACCGUUGGGAGGGAAACGAACGUGGCCAUGAAGACUCCCUUCAGGUUCAGGGAGCCUCGGUUUGGGCGUUUGUGGGGUUGGGGACCCGUGGUCGGGCCCCGCCCGCGCAAGUCCUUCCAGGCUUCUGCAAUCCCGUCUGGAGUCCGCCAACGGCGGCCGUUCGCGGUCGAGGAGGGUCGUGGGGUAGGUGCCUCUUCGUCGAGCCCGCUCGCGGGUUUGGGGAGGAGAGCUUAUAGCCCGUGGCCCGGUAGACCGGGGGCGGCCGAGGAGCGUUGCGACCCAUUCGCACGGCGUAGCGCAGGCUCCGCAGGGGCCGGGUCGCUUCUGGACUUGCGUGCUCCGCGGCGAGCCACUGCCCGCAGUGACAGUCGACGGUGGGUGCGCUUGUGCGGGAGACGGACCACGAUUUGCGCUUCGGUCGUUGGCGUGCGUAUGGCUCCGUCCGACCCGUCU